rnacentral:lncRNA from 1 species
GGGGGCUUUAUUCAGCGCCACCUCACAGAGCCCCAAAAUGGGGCAAAAACCACGGGAUUUGGGGCCGGGGGAUGUCCCCGCGUGGUGGGGGUGGGCGGCAAGGGGACGGUGCCUGCGGUGACAAUGUCCUGACGGCCCCGUGUCACGACAUGCUGGUGUCACGAUGUCCCCAUGUCGUGACAUCCCAGUGUCAUGACAUCCCCAUGUCUCGGUGACAUUGUCCCAGUGUCACGACAUCCUGGUGUCACGACAUCCCAGUGUCACUAUGUCCCCACGUCGUGACAUCCCAGUGCCAUUUUCUUGUGUCGCGAUGUUCCAGUGCCAUUGUCCCGGUGUCACAACAUCCCGGUGUCACGAUGUCCCCAUGUCGUGACAUCCCAGUGCCAUUCUCCCAGUGUCACGAUGUCCCGGUGCCAUUGUCCUGGUGUCACGACAUCCUGGUGUCACGAUGUCCCCAUGUCGUGACAUCCCCGUGCCAUUAUCCCACCACCACCACACCCCCCUGUCACGACAUCCCCCCGCCCCCCCCCCCCGCGGCCCCCCCCGCCCCCCCGGGGGGCAGCAGGCGACAGGCGGUGACGGUGCCCAGGGUGGCGGCGACGGCGGCGAGGUCGCGACGGGCCAGGCGCAGGCAGUGAGCGGCAGCGGCCGCCCCUGCCUGCG